GCAGGGCUCGGUGGUGCGUGCCUGUAGUCCCAGCUACUUGGGAGGCUGAGGUGGGAGGAUUGCUUAAUCCCAGGAGUUCUGGGCUGUAGUGCGCUAUGUCGAUCGGGUGUCCACACUAAGUUCAGCAUCAAUAUGGUGAACUCCCGGGAGCAGGGGACCAGUAGGUUGCCUAAGUACGGGUGAACCGGUCCUGGUCAGAAACGGAGAAGGUCAAAACCCCCGUGCUGAUCAACAGUGGGACUGCGCCUGUGAAUAGCCACUGCACUCCAGCCUGGGCAACAGAGAGAACCCGUCUCU
rnacentral:SRP_RNA from 1 species